UACGUAGGUGGCAAGCGUUGUCCGGAUUUAUUGGGUUUAAAGGGUGCGUAGGUGGCCCCGUAAGUCAGUGGUGAAAUAUCUCAGCUUAACUGAGAGGGUGCCAUUGAUACUGCGGGGCUUGAGUACAGAUGAGGUAGGCGGAAUUGACGGUGUAGCGGUGAAAUGCAUAGAUAUCUGGAGGAACACCGGCGGCGAAGGCGGCAUCCUGGACCAAUACUGACACUGAGGAGCGAAAGCCAGGGGAGCAAACGGG
rnacentral:rRNA from 1 species